rnacentral:rRNA from 1 species
UCCUAUAGCUAUAUCCCGUUGAGAUAAUCGGUUUUCAUCUGAACGCUGAAGUUAACCAACGUCGACCUUAGUUAAUACUGAGGUGGGUGACAGCUUCCGAAACCUAGGUGCCGGAAGAG